GGGAUUGCCUCAGUAACGGCGAGUGAAGCGGCAACAGCUCAAAUUUGAAAUCUGGCCCCUUUUCGGGGUCCGAGUUGUAAUUUGUAGAGAGUGUUUCGGGCGAGACCACGGUCUAAGUCCAUUGGAACAUGGCGUCAUAGAGGGUGAGAAUCCCGUCUGCGACCGUGGCUCGAGCCCAUGUGAAGCCUCUUCGACGAGUCGAGUUGUUUGGGAAUGCAGCUCAAAAUGGGUGGUAAAUUUCAUCUAAAGCUAAAUACUGGCUGGAGACCGAUAGCGCACAAGUAGAGUGAUCGAAAGAUGAAAAGCACUUUGGAAAGAGAGUUAAACAGUACGUGAAAUUGUUGAAAGGGAAGCGCUUGCAACCAGACCUGUCCGUAGGUGAUCAGCCGCUGUUCUCAGCGGUGCACUCGCUCUGCGAUCAGGCUAGCAUCGGUUUCGGCGACCGGAUAAAGGCCUUGGGAAUGUAGCUUCCUUUCGGGGGAGUCUUAUAGCCUUCGGUGCAAUGCGGCCAGCCGGGACCGAGGACCGCGCUUCGGCUAGGAUGCUGGCGUAAUGGUUGUAA
rnacentral:rRNA from 1 species